GACGAACGCUGGCGGCGUGCUUAACACAUGCAAGUCGAACGGAAAGGCCUCUUUCGGGGGGUACUCGAGUGGCGAACGGGUGAGUAACACGUGAGUAACCUGCCCUUGACUUUGGGAUAACUUCAGUAAACUGGGGCUAAUACCGGAUAGGAGCCCCUGCUGCAUGGUGGGGGUUGGAAAGUUUCGGCGGUUGGGGAUGGACUCGCGGCUUAUCAGCUUGUUGGUGGGGUAGUGGCUUACCAAGGCUUUGACGGGUAGCCGGCCUGAGAGAGUGACCGGCCACAUUGGGACUGAGAUACGGCCCAGACUCCGACGGGAGGCAGCAGUGGGGAAUAUUGCACAAUGGGUGGAAGCCUGAUGCAGCAACGCCGUGUGCGGGAUGACGGCCUUCGGGUUGUAAACCGCUUUCGCUCAUGACGAAGCUUUGUGUGACGGUAGUGGGUAAAGAAGCACCGGCUAACUACGUG
rnacentral:rRNA from 1 species